GUGAGAUAUGGUUGAAAACUGAUACAUGAGGAAGUAGAAACACCAUCUUCAACAGCAAAUUUACUCCUGUGUGAGUCAUUGACUUGUGAUUAUCAUAAACAAGGUGGCCCCAUGCCAAGAACUCCAUCAAUCUUGACCACAUGAGUUUCUGAAAAGCAUUGGACUUACUUUCAAGGUCUCCAGAGUACCUGUGGGAAAUGGUCAAAGCAGAUAUUAUUGUCCUUAUACGUGAGAAAGAAAGGAAGUGAGUCCUACAAGCCUCACAGCAUAUUAAGGGAUUUCAACCCGGGAUCCUGAUUCUGUGAGGAAUGUUUUCCUCACAGGAGAAGGUGUUGUCUCCUGAGCCUCCGUAGGAAACUGCAGAGCGUCCCAGACAUCCAGGAUACUUACAGAUUUACUUGAGGUCCAUCAGUGAGGCUCACCACUUAGAAGAGAAGCCAGUCUUUAAAAUAAGCACAUUAUUAUUGACAGUAAAAAGAUCAAAAACAAAACAGAGUGUCACCUGUGAGUGGAGUAGCCUCCGGGCAUGAGCCCUCUGGACAGCUGUUCUUCUCUCAAUCAGCAAAGAUGCUCGUGGUGUGUCAGGCCCGUGAGAGCUCGCUGGCAAAACAGAGGUAGUACUGGGUGAUGAACAUUUAUUUCUGGUUUGAGCUAUUACAAAUAAUACUGCUAUGAGCAUUCACAUCUCUUCGUGGGCAUCACUCCAAGUCAACUGGUAGUGUUUUAACUUAUUAUUUUCAGUGUCUGCAGAAUAUUCCACGAUUUAAUUCUAUGAUGAACGAGAAACCUUCAUAUUCUCCCCAGUGUUGUUAUAUUUACUCACACCCAAAUAAUAGUUAUAAAAUGGUUGGCAAAGAAGAAAGCUGGAACUUUUACAGUUACAUAAGAAGGCUGACAUCCCUAAGUCACCGAAUCGGGGAGUCCAGAAGAGAAAACAUUGGGAGGAUUGGAAUUUCAGAGCAGGAGGAGGACCUGAGAGGACAGAGAGGAAGGACACCAGCCGGCUACUAUGUAGCGUGGGGAAGCUUCUGAGGAAGGU